AGUGAACGCUGGCGGUAGGCCUAACACAUGCAAGUCGAACGGCAGCACAGUAAGAGCUUGCUCUUACGGGUGGCGAGUGGCGGACGGGUGAGGAAUACAUCGGAAUCUACUUUUUCGUGGGGGAUAACGUAGGGAAACUUACGCUAAUACCGCAUACGACCUACGGGUGAAAGCAGGGGAUCUUCGGACCUUGCGCGAUUGAAUGAGCCGAUGUCGGAUUAGCUAGUUGGCGGGGUAAAGGCCCACCAAGGCGACGAUCCGUAGCUGGUCUGAGAGGAUGAUCAGCCACACUGAAAAUGAGACACGGUCCAGACUACUACGGGAGGCAGCAGUGGGGAAUAUUGGACAAUGGGCGCAAGCCUGAUCCAGCCAUACCGCGUGGGUGAAGAAGGCCUUCGGGUUGUAAAGCCCUUUUGUUGGGAAAGAAAAGCAGCAGGUUAAUAACCCGCUGUUCUGACGGUACCCAAAGAAUAAGCACCGGCUAACUUCGUG
rnacentral:rRNA from 1 species